rnacentral:rRNA from 1 species
AAACGGGUUAAUAUUCCCGUACUUCUUACAAUUGCGAUGGGGGGACGGAGAAGGCUAGGUGGGCCUGGCGACGGUUGUCCAGGUUCAAGUGCGUAGGCUUAAGAGUUAGGUAAAUCCGGCUCUUUCUAAGGCUGAGACACGACGUCGAGCACCUACGGGUGUGAAGUCAUUGAUGCCAUGCUUCCAGGAAAAGCCUCUAAGCUUCAGAUUGUAAGGAAUCGUACCCCAAACCGACACAGGUGGUCGGGUAG